CAGUCGCCGCGGGAAUACGGAGGGGGCUAGCGUUGUUCGGAAUUACUGGGCGUAAAGCGCACGUAGGCGGCUUUGUAAGUUAGAGGUGAAAGCCCGGAGCUCAACUCCGGAAUUGCCUUUAAGACUGCAGAGCUAGCAGGUGAGAGAGGUGAGUGGAAUUCCGAGUGUAGAGGUGAAAUUCGUAGAUAUUCGGAAGAACACCAGUGGCGAAGGCGGCUCACUGGCUCAUACUGGACGCUGAGGUGCGAAAGCGUGGGGAGCAAACAGGAUUAGAUACCCGCGUAGUCCCUGUCUCUUAUAC
rnacentral:rRNA from 1 species